rnacentral:misc_RNA from 1 species
GGAAGGAUCAUUGAAUCUAUCGUGCCCACACCGCGAAAAUACUUAUGCCCUUCUGGAGUAGGCAAACAGUCAUGUUUGCCCUUAAGUUGCGCAGGUCAGGGGCUGGCUCCUUUUGGUGUCAGUUGACUUGACUGGGCGGGUCCAAUACCAUCCGGAUUCACCUUGCCUUCAAUGGCAAGGGGUUCUGCCGGGUGUGAGGGGUGGCGGUUUAACACACUCUAAGCAAUCAUAUCUGAAGACAGAUCUACUGGCUGGCUUUGCUGGCUGUAGUCUGAUUAAUACUGACAACUCUCAACAACGGAUAUCUUGGCUCCCGUAACGAUGAAGAACGCAGCGAAAUGCGAUACGUAGUGUGAAUUGCAGAAUUCCGUGAACCAUCGAAUCUUUGAACGCAAAUUGCGCUCGAGGCCUCGGCCAAGAGCAUGUCUGCCUCAGCGUCGGCUACUACCCUCAAUCAAGUUUCCUAUAUUAAUAGGGGAUGCCGAUUGGAUAUGGCCGUCCGGAUUGCCUUUCAGGCUGCCGGUCAGCUGAAAUAUAUGCACGCUUUGAGAGCUGCUUCCCUUUCGAGGGGAGGCGAGUUCCGAUUUGGUAGGUGACCUUUGCCGGUUACAUGCCUUCGUUGCCCGCUAAGCUUCCCAAAAUGCGUUGUGCAGGACGCCUUUUGGCUUUCGACCUGAGGUCAGGCAAGAACACCCGCUGAACUUAAGCAUAUCAAAUAAGCGGAGGAAAAGAAACUAACUAGGAUUCCCUUAGUAGCGGCGAGCGAACC